ACGGAGGGUGCAAGCGUUAAUCGGAAUUACUGGGCGUAAAGCGCGCGUAGGCGGCUAUCUAAGCCAGAUGUGAAAUCCCCGGGCUCAACCUGGGAAUUGCAUUUGGAACUGGGUAGCUAGAGUGCAGGAGAGGAUAGUGGAAUUCCAGGUGUAGCGGUGAAAUGCGUAGAUAUCUGGAGGAACAUCAGUGGCGAAGGCGACUAUCUGGCUUGACACUGACGCUGAGGUGCGAAAGCGUGGGGAGCAAACAGG
rnacentral:rRNA from 1 species